AAUAGAUACCCCGGUAGUCCUAGCCGUAAACCGAUGAACACUAGGCGUAGUCGGGUAUCGACCCCGGCUGUGCCGUAGCUAACGCAUUAAGUGUUCCGCCUGGGGAGUACGGCCGGCAAGGGCUAAAACUCAAAGGAAUUGACGGGGGGCCCGCACAAGGCAGCGGAGCGUGUGGUUUAAUUCGUCGCAACGCGAAGAACCUUACCAGGGCUUGACAUGUGGCGGAAAACGGCGGAAACGUCGUCCUCCCGCAAGGGACCGUCAUGCAGGUGUUGCAUGGCUGUCGUCAGCUCGUGUCGUGAGAUGUUGGGUUAAGUCCCGCAACGAGCGCAACCCCCGUGGCAUGUUGUAUCUCUCAUGCCAGACUGCCGAGAGAAACUCGGAGGAAGGUGGGGAUGACGCCAAGGUCAGGCAUGGCCCUUACGUCCUGGGCUACACACACGCUACAAUGGCCGGUACAACGGGUUGCCAAACCGCGAGGUGGAGCUAAUCCCUUAAAGCCGGUCUCGAGUUCGGAUUGCAGGCUGCAACUCGCCUGCA
rnacentral:rRNA from 1 species